rnacentral:rRNA from 1 species
ACGCGCUGAACUUAAGCAUAUCACUAAGCGCAGGAUCAAAAAUAACUAUGAUUGCCUCAGUAGCGGCGAGCGAAGCGGCAAGAGCCCAAGAUGAAAAUUCCUGUCCUUUGGACUUGAAGAAUUGUAAUCUACAGGACGAUCGCUGACAGGCUCCCUGAAGCCCAAGUGUCUUGGAAUAGACUGCCAUGGAGGGUGAAAGCCCCGUACGGCAUCGGGGAAGCGCUAGGCGGCGUCUCAAGAGUCGAGUUGUUCGGGACUGCAGCUCUAAGUGGGAGGUAGACUUCUCCUAAGGCUAAAUAACUAUGAGAGACCGAUAGCGAACAAGUAAUGUGAAUGAAAGAUGAAAAAUUUACUAUCCGUAAGAACUUUGAAUUAUACAAACAAGAGAAUUAAAUAGACCUGAAACCGUUGAGGAGGAAGCGAUAGGUCGUUUUCGUUUGGCAUCGAGCGAGCAAAGCAUAGACGAGCCUGCUCGUUGCCAAAAAGCAAGAUAGGCUCUACCCGCGUCACAACCUUCCACUGGGCCAGAGCUUCGGCAUCACUCAGGGAGUGGCCGUCGCGGGUGGGGUCGAGGGACUUCGUGUGAUCUUGCUAAACUUGAUAUUGACCUACCGACCCGUCUUGGAACACGGAACAAGGAGUCUAACAAAUACGCGAUUAUGUUGGUGUUCUUUGAAACCAGACAUGAGCAAUGAAAGUAAGCGGUGCCAAUCGCAAGAUGCAGCAUCGGCCGAUUGUGAUCCUCUGGAGAAAUGUAUCGGCUACGAGCGUAUCUGUUAGGACCCGAAAGAUGGUGAACUACGCUUGGGUAGGGUGAAGCUAGGGGAAACUCUUGUGGAAGCCCGAAACGGUUCUGACGUGCAAAUCGAUCGUCAAAUUUGGGUAUAGGGGCGAAAGACUAAUCGAACCGUCUAGUAGC